UACGAAGGGGGCUAGCGUUGCUCGGAAUCACUGGGCUUAAAGGGCGCGUAGGCGGGCCUUCAAGUCCGGGGUGAAAUCCUCCCGCUUAACGGGAGAAGAGCCUCGGAGACUGAGGGGCUCGAGGGAGGUAGGGGCGUGCGGAACUAUGGGUGGAGCGGUGAAAUGCAUUGAUAUCCAUAGGAACUCCGGUGGCGAAGGCGGCACGCUGGACCUCUUCUGACGCUGAGGCGCGAAAGCCAGGGGAGCAAACGGG
rnacentral:rRNA from 1 species